AUUGAACGCUGGCGGCAGGCUUAACACAUGCAAGUCGAGCGAGCGGCGGACGGGUGAGUAAUGUAUGGGAAACUGCCUGAUGGAGGGGGAUAACUACUGGAAACGGUAGCUAAUACCGCAUACCAUCAGAUGUACCCAGAUGGGAUUAGCUAGUAGGUUGGGUAAUGGCUCACCUAGGCGACGAUCCCUAGCUGGUCUGAGAGGAUGAACAGGCACACUGGAACGGAGACACGGUCCAGACUCCUACGGGAGGCAGCAGUGGAGAAUAUUGUACAAUGGGAGCAAGCCUGAUGCAGCCAUGCCGCGUGUGUGAAGAAGGCCUUCGGGUUGUAAAGCACUUUUAGCGAGGAGGCGUUACUCGCAGAAGAAGCACCGGCUAACUCCGUGCCAGCAGCCGCGGUAAUUC
rnacentral:rRNA from 1 species